UCUUGGUCAUAUUUUCCACCUUCACAUACACACAGUUUCACUCACAGCAUCCUAUCUGCCAUUAAUCAUCAUUAUCACCCAGCUUGGAACACAGUGAUGGGACAUGCUUAAAAUUGGUAUGAGCUGCUCUGUGCUUGAUUAUUUUUCCUGCCUGCUCCCAAAUGCUUCCCCCCCUCACAUCCUGCUUCUAAUCUUCAUCUGCUCCUGACAUUUUUACUGCUCAACAGUUUCCGUCUUCAAACAAUGACAGGUAGCAGGAGGAUUAAUCAAAGGGAUCAAGUCCAAGGAUUGAUACUUGUAAUUCCUAAGAAAACACAUAGCAUCUCUGUGGCCCUGAUAUUUAAAUGAAUAAGACAAUGGUGUUAUGCUAUGGGAGACUCAUAUCAAAAUUAGUGUUUUAGAAACAGAUAGUUUUAAAGAGAGUUUUAUGUAAGUAGAUGUUAAAUGUAUACAAGAGUUUGCACAUAAACACAUGUAAUCAUACCCUCCUCAUUAUCAUUAUGUGAAUAGAAAAUAAAGCCUAGAAGACAGCUGUCCCAAAGUCAAGAACAUUAAGAAAAAAAUUGUAUGCAAUUUGAUAAAACAUACAAUAACAAAGUAGCGGAUUUGAGAAAAGUGAAUACAGCUUCCUCUUCCAAUUGCUAAAACAGCAUUGAGGUAACUAUCCAUCUAAAAUAAGCACUUCCAACCCUCCCCAAUACACAUUCUUAGAAACACAGACAAACAUACACUCCUCACACAGAGAGGAACAUUUAGAUCCUGCAUGACCUCUGACACAAGACCAAGGGUCAACCACACUUUUCAGGCUGAGGUUGAUGUGUCCAUUAUGCUGUCAACCCAUUGGCUGGAUGAAUAGGAGCAAAUAGAGCUAAUUAGGGUCUUUUAUGAACAAUCAGUCACGAUGCAAAGUUUCCUUCAGUUACUGUUCUUUAUUGCUUUUCCACAUGGACACUCCACUGCUUCCAAAACACAGAGGCUCUUUUCUUUGGACGGGGUGUGUGUUUUGCACUGGGCCGCGUUGCUCCCACUGCUUACUGCUCCAUCUGACCUGUUUGAGAGCAAGUCAUGGAACCACAGAACACAGAACCAACUACCACAAUGAGGGGAAUCCAGGACAGAACCUGAGAGUAAAUGCUUUCUAACAGUCUUUAUCAAAAUCAUCUAGAUGAUGGGAAUGCAUGUCUCAGAGGUCUACAUGUUUCUUAAUGCUGAACGUUUAUCCAUCCACAGAUGUCAUUAGUCAUUUUUGUAUAUGAUAGGGCCAAUAUGCAAUUUCCAUGUGAAUAAAGUGUAAAAAUUAUGU